ACGGUACAACGAGUCGCAAGACCGCGAGGUUUAGCAAAUCUCUUAAAGCCGUUCUCAGUUCGGAUUGUAGGCUGCAACUCGCCUACAUGAAGUCGGAAUCGCUAGUAAUCGCGGAUCAGCAUGCCGCGGUGAAUACGUUCCCGGGCCCUGUACACACCGCCCGUCACACCAUGAGAGUUUGUAACACCCAAAGCCGGUGGGGUAACCUUUUGGAGCCAGCCGCCUAAGGUGGGACAGAUGAUUGGGGUGAAGUCGUAACAAGGUAUC
rnacentral:rRNA from 1 species